AUUGAACGCUGGCGGCAGGCCUAACACAUGCAAGUCGAGCGGUAGAGAGGUGCUUGCAUCUCUUGAGAGCGGCGGACGGGUGAGUAAUGCCUAGGAAUCUGCCUAGUGGUGGGGGAUAACGUUCGGAAACGGACGCUAAUACCGCAUACGUCCUACGGGAGAAAGCGGGGGAUCGCAAGACCUCGCGCGAUUGGAGCGGCCGAUAUCAGAUUAGGUAGUUGGUGAGGUAAAGGCUCACCAAGCCGACGAUCUGUAGCUGGUCUGAGAGGACGACCAGCCACACUGGAACUGAGACACGGCCCAGACUCCUACGGGAGGCAGCAGUGGGGAAUUUUUGGACAAUGGGCGGCAAGCCUGAUCCAGCAAUAGCCGCGUGCAGGAUGAAGGCCUCGGUUGUAACG
rnacentral:rRNA from 1 species